CAUAUUCAGCUCCUUUUCUUCGUAGUCAUAUACUUUUUUCUCCAACGAAACCCUAACAAUUUGUUCCUUCCGCUCUGUUUCCAUUUACCCUUUCGAUUUCAAUUCGUUCAUUUCAUUCAAAUUCAAAUCCUAACAAUAAUUUGAAAUUAGAAUCACACCUCUCCCGUGUCAGUAUCAAUAUGGAACCCUAAUAAUCAAUCCUACCAUUCAUUUGAACCGUCACUUUCGCUUCGUUCAAUCGCAAAUCCGCAGUUUGUAAUUCCGCAAUCAAGUUUUUUGUUGCUCUAUUCUGCAGCUCUGUAAUCUACAGUUCCGCAAUCGGUUGUUCCACUUCUCGAUUCUGCUACUCGAUAAUCCAUGAUUCUACAAUCCACCAAUUUCAAGAUGCGCAUUGGUUUCUCCCACUAAAUUGUUGGAUUCAUAACUCUAUUUGCUAACUGGAAAAUGUUGGUUGAAUCACAAGUAUCUUACUGACUUCAUCAGCUUGAUCCUUGUUAUUUGAGAAGCACAACAAGAGUUUGAUGGGCAUUGUUCGGUCCAGGUAUAUAGUGUGAAAGCUAGCACUCGAAAGAAUCCAGCAGUGCUUUGGAAUGCAGAAUUCACUCAAGCAGAAGAGUUCUUCAAGCAGCCUCCCUCGGUUGAUAAUUGUUUGAGAGACAAUAAGCUUCUGAAACAUGAGCUGAACCUUCAUCACCUUAUGACAUAAGAAGAUCAUCUGAUGCAAGCAAUACACUUGAAGAAAAUCAUCAUAUUCCUUCAAAGGACAUGUUUUUAUGGCACUGUUAUGUUCUAAAAUUUGUUCAUUAGGAAUAGCUUAAGAUAAUGGAUACAAAAUGUUGGUAAUAUUUUAGGAAUAGAUUGUGAUACAUAUAUGUUUUUUUUUUACAAGAAUACAUGAAUGUAAAUUUAUUAUAGAUAGUUUAAUAUACUAUUAGUGCUGGUAUUCAAUUGUGACAAAAUUUAAAU